UGGACCAAUGAUGACAGCCGGUGGCGUAUGAGUCCUACACGAUGACUGCUACGUGUCUGGAAGUCUGAGGUCCAU
ensembl:snoRNA